rnacentral:rRNA from 1 species
AUAAGGAGUCGAGCCUGCCCGGUGAAAUUUUUUAACGGCCGCGGUACUCUGACCGUGCAAAGGUAGCAUAAUCAUUUGCCUUAUAAUUGAAGGCUAGUAUGAAUGGUUUGACAAGAAUAUAGCUGUCUCUAUAUAAUUUAAUAGAAUUUUAUAUUUAGGUGAAAAAGCCUUAAUUUAAUUAAAAGACAAGAAGACCCUAUCGAGCUUUAAAUAAGUUGGUAGAGAUGAAUAAAUUAUUUAUAAAAAAGUAGCUACUAAAAAUUUUGGUUGGGGCGACUGAGGAACAUAAAAAGCUUCCUUUAAAAAUGUAUUUAGAACAUAUGAGUCUUGAUCCACAAGUUUUGUGAUUAAAAAAAUUAGUUACCGUAGGGAUAACAGCAUUAUCUUUUUUGAGAGUUCUUAUCGAAAAAAAGGUUUGUGACCUCGAUGUUGGACCAGAAUAUCCUGAAGAUGCAGAAGUCUUUAAGGGUUGGUCUGUUCGACCAUUAAAAUUCUA